CAAUAGCGUAUAUUAAAGCUGUUGCGGUUAAAAAGCUCGUAGUUGGAUUUCUGUCAAGGACGACUGGUCCGCCCUCCGGGUGAGCACAUAGUUUGGUCUUGACAUCUUGCUGGAAGCUGUUGCUGCACUUGGCUGUGUGGCGCAGUGUUCAGCACUUUCACUUUGAGGAAAUUGGAGUGUUUCAAGCAGGCACAUGCCUUUGGACACAGUAGCAUGGAAUAAUUAGAUUGGGCUUUUGCUCCAAUUUGUCGGUUUCUGGAGCUGAGGUGAGUAUUAAUGGGGAUUGUUGGGGGCAUCCGAAUUUAGCCGUCAGAGGUGAAAUUCUUGGAUCUGCUAAAGACGGACAACUGCGAAAGCGUUUGCCCAGGAUGUUUUCAUUG
rnacentral:rRNA from 1 species